CAACCCAUACCACUAGUUAACCAGCCAGGUAGGGCCCAACCCAUACCACUAGUUAACCAGCCAGGUAGGGCCCAACCCAUACCGCUAGUUAACCAGCCAGGUAGGGCCCAACCCAUACCACUAGUUAACCAGCCAGGUAGGGCCCAACCCAUACCACUAGUUAAC